rnacentral:rRNA from 1 species
GACGAACGCUGGCGGCGUGCUUAACACAUGCAAGUCGAACGAUGAAGCCUAGCUUGCUAGGUGGAUUAGUGGCGAAUGGGUGAGUAAUACGUGAGUGACCUACCUUUGACUCUGGGAUAAGCCUGGGAAACUGGGUCUAAUACCGGAUACGACCAAUCUCCGCAUGGGGUGUUGGUGGAAAGCGUUAUGGAGUGGUUUUAGAUGGGCUCACGGCCUAUCAGCUUGUUGGUGAGGUAAUGGCUUACCAAGGCGACGACGGGUAGCCGGCCUGAGAGGGUGACCGGCCACACUGGGACUGAGACACGGCCCAGACUCCUACGGGAGGCAGCAGUGGGGAAUAUUGCACAAUGGGCGCAAGCCUGAUGCAGCGACGCCGCGUGAGGGAUGACGGCCUUCGGGUUGUAAACCUCUGUUAGCAUCGAAGAAGCGAAAGUGACGGUAGGUGCAGAGAAAGCGCCGGCUAACUACGUG